GCCGUCGUAGCGCAAUGGUAGCGCGUCGCUUUCCUAAGACUAUUAGGCGAAGGUUGCGAGUUCGAUCCUCGUCGUCGGUA
rnacentral:tRNA from 1 species